rnacentral:rRNA from 1 species
UACGUAGGGUGCGAGCGUUGCCCGGAUUUAUUGGGCGUAAAGGGCGCGUAGGCGGCCUGGCGCGUCGGCUGUGAAAUCUCCCGGCUCAACUGGGAGGGGACGGCCGAUACGGCUGGGCUUGAGCGAGGUAGGGGAGAGUGGAAUUCCCGGUGUAGUGGUGGAAUGCGUAGAUAUCUGGAGGAACACCGGUGGCGAAGGCGGCAUCCUGGACCGACACUGACGCUGAGGAGCGAAAGCCAGGGGAGCAAACGGG